rnacentral:ncRNA from 2 species
AUUAAAUAUUGAGAAUUGAGUUGAUUCUUCGCAAGAGGAAUCAUAAGGGAAGUCAGUUGAAGCUGACGCGGUGCCCGCCACUGUAAAAGGGAGUUAACCUACAAUGAUGUCACUGGAUUACUGUCUGGGAAGACGUAGGUUAAUGAUGAACUUGAGCCAGGAAACCUGCUCAUAUUCUCGAUUCAAG